CUGACGACCGCGUCCGGGUCAAUUGCGGAAUGCAACACCCGAUCUCCCUGCUCGUCCCGCCGUCGAUGGCGGUCGAGGAGGGGGAGCGCGUCACAGUCAG
rfam:Halolamina sp. CBA1230 CBA1230_contig03, whole genome shotgun sequence.